CCUACGGGAGGCAGCAGUGAGGAAUAUUGGUCAAUGGGCGGGAGCCUGAACCAGCCAAGUCGCGUGAGGGAAGACGGUCCUACGGAUUGUAAACCUCUUUUGCCGGGGAGCAACGGGGUCCUUGCGAGGGCCCGAUGAGAGUACCCGGAGAAAAAGCAUCGGCUAACUCCGUGCCAGCAGCCGCGGUAAUACGGGGGAUGCGAGCGUUAUCCGGAUUUAUUGGGUUUAAAGGGAGCGUAGAUGGGUUGUUAAGUCAGUUGUGAAGUUUGCGGCUCAACCGGAAAAGUGCAAUUGAUACUGGCAGCCUUGAGUACAGUUGAGGUAGGCGGAAUUCGUGGUGUAGCGGUGAAAUGCUUAGAUAUCACGAAGAACUCCGAUUGCGAAGGCAGCUUACUAAACUGCCACUGACAUUGAUGCUCGAAAGUGUGGGUAUCAAACAGGAUUAGAUACCCGUGUAGUC
rnacentral:rRNA from 1 species